rnacentral:siRNA from 1 species
AUGUUGCACUCUUUUUCCCUUAAC